UACGGAGGGUGCAAACGUUGCUCGGAAUCAUUGGGCGUAAAGCGCACGUAGGCGGCCCAGCAAGUCGGGUGUGAAAGCCCUCGGCUUAACCGAGGAAGUGCAUUCGAAACUACUGAGCUUGAAUACUGGAGAGGAUCGCGGAAUUCCCGGUGUAGAGGUGAAAUUCGUAGAUAUCGGGAGGAACACCAGUGGCGAAGGCGGAUCUCUGGGCCUUACCUGACGCUGAGGCGCGAAAGCUAGGGGAGCGAACAGG
rnacentral:rRNA from 1 species